GACGGAGGAUGCAAGUGUUAUUCGGAUUCACUGGGCUUAAAGGGUGCGUAGGCGGCCAUGUAAGUAGGGUGUGAAAUCCCCCGGCUUAACCGGGGAACUGCGCCCUAAACUGUGUGGCUCGAGUGAGAUAGGGGUGUGUGGAACUUCCGGUGGAGCGGUGAAAUGUGUUGAUAUCGGAAGGAACGCCGGUGGCGAAAGCGACACACUGGGUCUCAACUGACGCUGAGGCACGAAAGCCAGGGGAGCGAACGGG
rnacentral:rRNA from 1 species